rnacentral:rRNA from 1 species
CAGUCAUACCAACGGGAAAUCAACCUUUUGAGCUCGGUCUCGUGGGUUUUGAAGAGUUUCAAAGCCUUCGGAUUCGCGGGAUUGGGAUCUCUCGGUGUACUUUCUCGUACGGUUAGUCAACAUCGGUUUUGAAUGUCAUAAAAUGACUGGAGGAAUGUAGCUUCGAUCUCGUAUUGAAGUGUUAUAGCCUUUGGUAGAUGUGAUGUUUGAGACCGAGGAUUGCAACGGAUACCCUUCAGGGCUAUUCGUCUGAUCUCUGAUACGUUGCCCUGAUGUUGAAAGCUUGCUUAUGAUGUUAGGGUAUUACGGUCAAAAGGUUAGAACGAAUUACAUUCGUUAAGGACGUUGACGUAAUGACUUUAAACGA